GGUUAAAAAGCUCGUAGUUGGAUUUCUGUUGAGGAUGACCGGUCCGCUCUUUGAGCGCGUAUCUGGUUCAGCCUUAGCAUCCUCUUGGGGAACGCUACUGUGCUUGAUUGCAUGGGGCGGUAUUCAAGACUUUUACUUUGAGGAAAUUAGAGUGUUCACUGCAAGCGUUAGCAAUUGAAUACAUUAGCAUGGAAUAAUAAUAUAGGACCUUGGUACUAUUUUGUUGGUUUCUAGAACUAAGGUAAUGAUUAAUAGGGACAAUUGGGGGCAUUCGUAUUAACGCGUCAGAGGUGGAAUUCUUAGAUUGCGUUACGACGAACUACUGCGAAAGCAUUUGCCAAGGAUGUUUUCAUUGAUCAAGAACGAAAGUAUGGGGAUCGAAGACGCUUAGAUACCGUCGUAGUCUAUACCAUAAACUAUGCCUACUAGAGAUUGGAGGUCGUUCUCUUUAUGACUCCUUCAGCACCUUAUGAGAAAUCAAAGUCUUUGGGUUCCGGGGGGAGUAUGGUCGCAAGGCUGAAACUUAAAGGAAUUGACGGAAGGGCACCACCAGGAGUGGAGCCUGCGGCUUAAUUUGACUCAACAC
rnacentral:rRNA from 1 species